rnacentral:rRNA from 1 species
UACGUAGGUGGCAAGCGUUGUUCGGAAUUAUUGGGCGUAAAGGGCGCGUAGGCGGUCUUGUAAGUCAGCUGUGAAAGCCCGGGGCUCAACCCCGGAGGGUCGGCUGAUACUGCAGGACUGGAGUACGGAAGAGGUAGCUGGAAUUCCCGGUGUAGCGGUGAAUGCGUAGAUAUCGGGAGGAACACCUGAGGCGAAGGCGGGCUACUGGGCCGAUACUGACGCUGAUGCGCGAAAGCCAGGGGAGCAAACGGG